UUGAUGUUAGGACCAAUGAGUCACAGAAAAUGAAAGUAAUAAGAUUAGGGGCAAUCUGUUUGAUAUAUUUGGUUUACAAUGAUAUGAAGUCUGGAAAAUCUGAUGCAAUCAUUGGGGUUGAAACAACUUGGUUAGGAUUUAGGAGGUAAACAAAUCCAAUCUGUAACUAGAUGCAAUCAUUGGGGUUGAAGCAACUUGGUUAGGAUUUUGGAGGUAAGCAAUUCCACUCUGUAACUAAUGUUAGUUAAUUAGUGACGACUUCUUGAUGAUGUACUAGGAAUAUCUGCUCCAUUCGGGUCCCAUUAUGAUCCAAAAUAUGAUAUCGUGUUGUAAAGGCUAAAUUGGGUGGCCCAGCUGGAAAAUGAACAACUUUAAGCAAUGUUGUGGGGUGCAGCAAUUUGGUCUGCAGAAUAGGAAACACAGUUUCAUGAAGUGAAAAUUGAAGAAGCAAGUUUCUAUUGUUUUUUGUCACCCUUGUAGCAUGUAUAUGCGUCUUUCAAUAGCAACAAUUCCACCUUAAUUCACAGCAAGUUAGGAUAUGAGUUUAUAUUUAUCAUAAAUUGUUAUUCCUAGUUUUACUCUUAACUGGAUAGCCUUCUUCCUUUAUCCCUUAGGGCCGCAAUGUUGUGAGCCUUUAUAGGGGAGGGGGGUGAUAUUGAAUGCCAGGGCCAAAACUCACCAUUAAAAAGCUGAGGUGGAGGGGGUCCAAACCACAAUUUUUUUUUAAGAAAUAGAUAUUCAAAAGAUAUUAUACUGUAGCUGAAUGAUACAUUUGCCUUCUCCUUGUUGUCCUUUGUGAGUUGUGUUGUGGUCUCUUUCUAUAGCUGUCUCGUACUUACUUUUUCACUUCCUGAAACUGUGAAAGAAAAGUUGUGUCUAUGUGCAGCAGUAAAAAAUUACAGUUACAGUAAAUCAGCAAUGAUCCUUAACUCUCAGUCCCAGGUUUGGCCAUGAAGUAUAAAAACAUGGAACAUGUUUCUGCACUCAGUUUCAGCAGUGGUAGUACAGAUCCAUGGAAUCUUUUUUAUUCAUUUAUAAUGUAAUGACUCAAAUUAGGGUAGAAGGCUAGUAGAUAGUCUCGUUAUCCGUUCUUACUAGUAGUCGCAGUAUCGCAAUAUAAUUUCUUGUGCUCCGAUUUAUGCUAUUAUCUGUUAUUUCGUGUGCUUUGAUUAUCCUGUGAUAUCUGUGUCGACUGCAUUAUUUUAUUUUAUAUUAUUGCUUUUCCAUGUCGCUUUGAAUUUCUUAGCCUUAUCUGACUUUUUUUAUGCUUUUAUGCUUUUCUUGAGCCGAGGGUCUUUCGGAAACAGCCGUCCUACCUUGGUAGGAGUAAGGUCUGCGUACACUCUACCCUCCCCAGACCCCACGAUGUGGGAUUUCACUGGGUUGUUGUUGUUGUUGUUGUAAUGUAAUGACUCAAUCUCAACUCUUGCAAUCUGUUUGAUAUAUUUGGUUUACAGCGAUAUGAAGUCCGGGAAAUGUGAUGCAAUCAUUGGGGUUGAAACAACUUGGUUAGGAUUUUGGAGCCAAACAAAUCCACUCUGUAACUACAUGCAAUCAUUGGGGUUGAAACAACUUGGUUAGGAUUUAGGAGGCUUAAAUUGGGUGGCCCAGCAGGAAAAUGAACAACUUAAAGCAAUGUUGUGGGGUGCCAACAACUCGCUCUGCAGAACAGGAAACAGAGUUUCAUGAAGUGAAAAUUGAAGAAGCAAGUUUCUAUUGUUUUUUA